GCUCCCAUGGCGUAGUGGUCACUGCACUCGCCUUGCACGUGGGAGACCCGGGUUCGAUUCCCGGCGGGGUCA
rfam:Asian citrus Psyllid, Diaphorina citri - Florida Strain, whole genome shotgun sequence.